UACGAGUGCCUCGAGCGUUAUCCGGAAUCAUUGGGCGUAAAGGGUGCGUAGGCGGCUAUGUUAGUCUCGCGUUAAAUCUUUCGGCUCAACCGAGAGUCCGCGUGGGAAACGGCAUAGCUUGAGGACGGGAGAGGUCUCUGGAACUCAUGGUGUAGCGGUGAAAUGCGUUGAUAUCAUGGGGAACACCAAAAGCGAAGGCAAGAGACUGGCCCGCUCCUGACGCUGAAGCACGAAAGCGUGGGUCGCGAAUGGG
rnacentral:rRNA from 1 species